UCUGCUGCGGGUCUUUUAUUACGUGGCAAGUUUAGAAUAACAUUUUCAAAACAUACAACUUCAAACAUCUAAGUCCUCAUGAGAUGAUACAAUACGUGGAUCUCGAGUGCAUCUGUGUGUUUCCCAGAGGCCCGUGCGGAUGCUCUGCCUUCAGAACGGCUCUUUCCACCGUUCUGAAAUGCCCUCCCUCAUAGACACCUCAGGUGUGCUCUGCUGACUCUAAAUCCAGUCAACUUGUCAAAGAUUAACCAUCAGAGUG
rnacentral:lncRNA from 1 species